rnacentral:rRNA from 1 species
GACCAAGGAGUCUAACAUAUGUGCAAGUCAUUGAGUAUUUUGUUGAAACUUAAUGGCGUAAUUAAAAUGACUAUAUUUUUAAUUUGGGAUCACAAGUAAUGUUCAAAUUUAUGCAUUAUUUUUCAAUCCCGGGGCGUUCUAUACGAACAUGAUGUAAGCAAUUAUGUCCUCUGUUCAAGAGCGCACCUUGAGCACAUAUGCUGUGACCCGAAAGAUGGUGAACUAUACCUGAUCAGGUUGAAGUCAGGGGAAACCCUGAUGGAAGACCGAAGCAGUUCUGACGUGCAAAUCGAUUGUCAGAAUUGGGUAUAGGGGCGAAAGACCAAUCGAACCAUCUAGUAGCUGGUUCCCUCCGAAGUUUCCCUCAGGAUAGCUGGUGCAAAUAGAUAUCAUAUAUAUAAUCUUAUCUGGUAAAGCGAAUGAUUAGAGGCAUUGGGGCCGAAACGACCUCAACCUAUUCUCAAACUUUAAAUGGGUAAGAACCUCAUCUUUCUUGAUCUGAAGAUUUUGCGGUUUAGAUAUAUUGUGCCCAGUGGGCCACUUUUGGUAAGCAGAACUGGCGCUGUGGGAUGAACCAAACGUGAUGUUACGACGCCUAAAUUAAUGACUCAUGUUGAUACCAUGAAAGGCGUUGGUUGCUUAAAACAGCAGGACGGUGGACAUGGAAGUCGUAAUCCGCUAAGGAGUGUGUAACAACUCACCUGCCGAAGCAACUAGCCCUUAAAAUGGAUGGCGCUUAAGUCAUAUGUCUAUACAUCACCGCUAGAAUAAAAGGAUUUUAUUCCAUUUUUGGAUGAAAUUUAUGAAAUUCUAGUGAGUAGGAGGGUACAAUGGUGUGCGCAGAAGUGCUUGGCGUGAGCCUGCAUGGAGCCGCCAUUGGCACAGAUCUUGGUGGUAGUAGCAAAUAAUCGAAUGAGAUCUUGGAGGACUGAAGUGGAGAAGGGUUUCGUGUGAACAGUGGUUGAUCACGAGUUAGUCGGUCCUAAGCCCUAUGCGAAAGCUGUUUAAAUUAUGUUAUUAACUAAAACAAAUAAUUUGGUUAAAAUUAUACACAUAAUCUAAAUCGGGCGAAAGGGAAUACGGUUCCAAUUCCGUAACCUGUUGAGUAUACGUUUGUUUAUUAAAAGUGGGUUCUAUUACACUCAUCCUGGUAACAGGAACAACCAUAGAGAAGCCUUCGAGAGGUAUUGGAAGAGUUUUCUUUUCUGUUGAACAAUCGUAUAACCAUGGAAGUCUUUCACAGAGAGAUAUGGUUAAUGGAUUGGAAGAACAUGACAUUUACUGUUGUGUCAAUAUUUUCUCCUUGGACCUUGAAAAUCUAUGGUGGGGCCACGCAAAUUUCUCAACAGACCGUACCGAUAUCCGCAG